UACGUAGGGGGCUAGCGUUGUCCGGAAUCAUUGGGCGUAAAGCGCGUGUAGGCGGCUUUGCAAGUCGGGUGUGAAAGCCCUCAGCUCAACUGAGGAAGUGCGCCCGAAACUGCAGAGCUUGAGUGCCGGAGAGGGUGGCGGAAUUCCCCAAGUAGAGGUGAAAUUCGUAGAUAUGGGGAGGAACACCGGUGGCGAAGGCGGCCACCUGGACGGGUAACUGACGCUGAGACGCGAAAGCGUGGGGAGCAAACAGG
rnacentral:rRNA from 1 species